GACGAACGCUGGCGGCGUGCUUAACACAUGCAAGUCGAACGGAAAGGCCCUGCUUGCAGGGUACUCGAGUGGCGAACGGGUGAGUAACACGUGGGUGAUCUGCCCUGCACUUCGGGAUAAGCCUGGGAAACUGGGUCUAAUACCGGAUAGGAGCCAUUUUUAGUGUGAUGGUUGGAAAGUUUUUUCGGUGUAGGAUGAGCUCGCGGCCUAUCAGCUUGUUGGUGGGGUAAUGGCCUACCAAGGCGGCGACGGGUAGCCGGCCUGAGAGGGUGGACGGCCACAUUGGGACUGAGACACGGCCCAGACUCCUACGGGAGGCAGCAGUGGGGAAUAUUGCACAAUGGGCGCAAGCCUGAUGCAGCGACGCCGCGGGGGGGAGGACGGCCUUCGGGUUGUAAACUCCUUUCGCUAGGGACGAAGCUUUUUGUGACGGUACCUAGAUAAGAAGCACCGGCUAACUACGUG
rnacentral:rRNA from 1 species